rnacentral:RNase_P_RNA from 1 species
AGAGCAAAUCAGCUUAUCGCUAUUUAUAGAGGAAAGUCUGGACACCAAAGAGCAACAUAGCGGGUAACGCCCGUCCGCCACAAGGCGAGGACAAGUGCAACAGAAAGCAAGUACAGUACGGCUGUAGUGAAAUCAGGUAAACUCUAUGUGGUGCAACGCCAUGUAAACCAGCUUUUGAGGGUAGCUCGCCCGAUGCUGGAGGGUAGGCGGUUUGAGUUUGUAAGUAAUUGCAAAUCAAGAUAAAUGAUAAGCAUCUUGCUUUACUAAGUAAGAAACAGAAUCCGGCUUAUGAUUUGCUCUUUUU